rnacentral:tRNA from 1 species
GUUGUGGCUCAGAGGUAGAGUGCUUGCCUGGCAAAUGUGAGGCACUGGGUUUGAUCCUCAGCACAACA